rnacentral:rRNA from 1 species
CCUACGGGUAGCAGCAGUGAGGAAUAUUGGUCAAUGGGCUUCCGCCUGCACCAGCCAAGUCGCGUGCGGGAAGACUGCCCUAUGGGUUGUAAACCUCUUUUGUCAGGUAGCACCGCCGGCUACGUGUAGCCGGCCUGAGAGUACCUGCAGAAACAGCAUCGGCUAACUCCGUGCCAGCAGCCGCGGUAAUACGGAGGAUGCGAGCGUUAUCCGGAUUGAUUGGGUUUAAAGGGUGCGUAGGCGUAAUGCCAAGUCAGCGGUAACAUCGCGGGGCUCAAAGUCGGAAUGGCCGCUGAUACUGUUCGGCUAGAGAGUAGUUGCGGGAGGCGGAAUGUAUGGUGGAGCGGUGAAAUGCUUAGAGAUCAUACAGAACACCGAGUGCGAAGGCAGCUUACCAAGCUACUUCUGACGUUGAGGCACGAAAGCGUGGGGAGCAAACAGGAUUAGAUACCCUUGUAGUC